rnacentral:rRNA from 1 species
UACAGAGGUCUCAAGCGUUGUUCGGAUUCAUUGGGCGUAAAGGGUGCGUAGGCGGCGCGGUAAGUCGGGUGUGAAAUCUCGGAGCUUAACUCCGAAACUGCAUUCGAUACUGCCGUGCUUGAGGACUGGAGAGGAGACUGGAAUUUACGGUGUAGCGGUGAAAUGCGUAGAUAUCGUAAGGAAGACCAGUGGCGAAGGCGGCUCUUUGGCCUGUAACUGACGCUGAGGCGCGAAAGCGUGGGGAGCAAACAGG